rnacentral:rRNA from 1 species
CCCUUGACAUGCCAGGAAUCUUGCAGAGAUGUGAGAGUGCUCGAAAGAGAACCUGGACACAGGUGCUGCAUGGCCGUCGUCAGCUCGUGUCGUGAGAUGUUGGGUUAAGUCCCGCAACGAGCGCAACCCUUGUCAUUAGUUGCUACGAAAGGGCACUCUAAUGAGACUGCCGGUGACAAACCGGAGGAAGGUGGGGAUGACGUCAGGUCAUCAUGGCCCUUAUGGGUAGGGCUACACACGUCAUACAAUGGCCGGGACAGAGGGCUGCCAACCCGCGAGGGGGAGCUAAUCCCAGAAACCCGGUUGUAGCCCGGAUCGCAGUCUGCAACUCGACUGCGUGAAGUCGGAAUCGCUAGUAAUCGCGGAUCAGCUUGCCGCGGUGAAUACGUUCCCGGGUCUUGUACACACCGCCCGUCACACCAUGGGAGCGGGUUCUGCCAGAAGUAGUUAGCCUAACCGCAAGGAGGGCGAUUACCACGGCAGGGUUCGUGACUGGGGUGAAGUCGUAACAAGGUAGCCGUAUCGGAAGGUGCGGCUGG